UACGUAGGUGGCAAGCGUUAUCCGGAUUUAUUGGGCGUAAAGGGAACGCAGGCGGUCUUUUAAGUCUGAUGUGAAAGCCCUCGGCUUAACCGGAGUAGUGCAUUGGAAACUGGGAGACUUGAGUGCAGAAGAGGAGAGUGGAACUCCAUGUGUAGCGGUGAAAUGCGUAGAUAUAUGGAAGAACACCAGUGGCGAAAGCGGCUCUCUGGUCUGCAACUGACGCUGAGGUUCGAAAGCGUGGGUAGCAAACAGG
rnacentral:rRNA from 1 species